GGUAGAGCGGUCGUCUCGUAUGCGAGAGACCCGGGUUCGAUUCCUGGCC
rnacentral:tRNA from 10 species